rfam:Loxodonta africana unplaced genomic scaffold scaffold_26, whole genome shotgun sequence.
AGCAGUUAAAGUGCUUGGCUGCUAACCAAAAAGUUGGUGGUUUAAACCCACCAGCUGCUU